GACGAACGCUGGCGGCGUGCUUAACACAUGCAAGUCGUACGGUAAGGCCCUUUCGGGGGUACCCGAGUGGCGAACGGGUGGGUAACACGUGCGUAACCUGCCCACAACUUAGGGAUAAAGCUCGGAAACUGGUGCUAAUUCUUGCUAUGUACUCCUGCUGCAUGGAGGGGGUUGGAAAGCAACGGCGGUUGUGGUUGGACGCGCGGCCUCUGAGCUUGUUUGUGGGGGAGUGGCCUACCAAGGCGGCGACGGGUAGCCGGCCUGAGCGGGUGUCCGGGCACAAUGGGACUGAGAGACGGCCCAGACGCCUACGGGAGGCAGUGGAGGGGAAUAUUGCACAAUGGGCGCAAGUCUGAGGCGGAGACGCCGCGUGCGGGAUGACGGGCUUCGGGUUGUAAACCGCUUUCAGCAGGGACGAAGCUUUUUGUGACGGUACCUGCAGAAGAAGCACCGGCUAACUACGUG
rnacentral:rRNA from 1 species